AGGAGGCAGCAGUAAGGAAUAUUGGUCAAUGGACGGAAGUCUGAACCAGCCAUCCCGCGUGCAGGAAGAAGGCGCUAUGCGUUGUAAACUGCUUUUCCAGGGGAAGAAAGCCCCCGAUGUAUCGGGGUUUGCCGGUACCCUGGGAAUAAGCAUCGGCUAACUCCGUGCCAGCAGCCGCGGUAAUACGGAGGAUGCGAGCGUUAUCCGGAUUUAUUGGGUUUAAAGGGUGCGUAGGCGGGCUGAUAAGUCAGUGGUGAAAACCUGCAGCUUAACUGUAGACGUGCCAUUGAUACUGUUAGUCUUGAGUGUGGUCAAGGCAGGCGGAAUGUGUAAUGUAGCAGUGAAAUGCUUAGAUAUUACACAGAACACCGAUUGCGAAGGCAGCUUGCUGGGCCAUUACUGACGCUGAUGCACGGAAGCGUGGGGAGCGAACAGGAUUAGAUACCCCGGUAGUCCC
rnacentral:rRNA from 1 species